GAAAAUAACAGCAAGUAAGGUGCCUCUUUUAAGGAGGCUUAAAAGGGAAGUACGGUGAAAAGCCGUCACGGUACCCGCCACUGUGAUGGGGAGUUUCAUUGCAACGAUGUCACUGAAGGACACUUCGGGAAGACGCAAUGAAGCGAUGAUCCUAAGUCAGGAGACCUGCCUUAUUUGCUCGGCCGGC
rnacentral:ncRNA from 1 species